rnacentral:rRNA from 2 species
CCAGGCUCGAUGGGUAGGGGUUCUUAGUGGAAGGUCCCCCACACUGGCACUGAGAUACGGGCCAGACUCCUACGGGAGGCAGCAGUAGGGAAUAUUGGUCAAUGGGCGCAAGCCUGAACCAGCCAUGCCGCGUGCAGGAUGAAGGCUCUCUGAGUUGUAAACUGCUUUUAUACAGGAGCAAAAAAAUCCCUGCGGGGGUUCUUGAGAGUACUGUAAGAAUAAGCACCGGCUAAUUCCGUGCCAGCAGCCGCGGUAAUACGGGAGGUGCAAGCGUUAUCCGGUUUUAUUGGGUUUAAAGGGUGCGUAGGCGGCUUAUUAAGUCAGUUGUGAAAUCCUAGUGCUUAACGCUAGAACUGCGAUUGAUACUAUUAGGCUUGAGUUAAAA